CCUACGGGAGGCAGCAGUAGGGAAUAUUGCUCAAUGGGGGAAACCCUGACGCAGCAACGCCGCGUGGAGGAUGAAGGUUUUCGGAUUGUAAACUCCUUUUGUUAGAGAAGAUAAUGACGGUAUCUAACGAAUAAGCACCUGCUAACUCCGUGCCAGCAGCCGCGGUAAUACGGAGGGUGCAAGCGUUACUCGGAAUCACUGGGCGUAAAGAGCGCGUGGGCGGUGUAGCAAGUCUGAUGUGAAAUCCUAUGGCUUAACCAUAGAACUUCAUUUGAAACUGUUAUUCUUGAGUAUGGGAGAGGUAAGUGGAAUUCCUGGUGUAGGGGUAAAAUCCGCAGGGAUAAAGAGGAAUA
rnacentral:rRNA from 1 species